rnacentral:rRNA from 1 species
AAAGUGGAUUUAUUAGUAAUUAGGUUUUAUUAUUAUUUAAUGAAGUAUGGAAUAACAUGUGUACAUAUUGCCCGUCGCUCUCGGUUUUUGAGAUAAGUCGUAACAUAGUUGAUUUACUGGAAAGUGAGUCUUUUUGG